CCUACGGGUGACAGCAGUAGGGAAUCUUCCACAAUGGACGAAAGUCUGAUGGAGCAACGCCGCGUGAGUGAAGAAGGGUUUCGGCUCGUAAAGCACUGUUGGUAGUGGAGAAAGAUAGAGGUAGUAACUGGCCUUUAUUUGACGGGAAUUACUUAGAAAGUCACGGCUAACUACGUGCCAGCAGCCGAGGUAAUACGGAGGGGGCAAGCGUUGUCCGGAGUUAUUGGGCGUAAAGCGAGUGCGGGCGGUUCAAUAAGUAUGUUGUGAAAGCCUUCGGCUCAACCGGAGAAUUGCAUCAGAAACUGUUGAACUUGAGUGCAGAAGAGGCGAGUGGAACUCCAUGUGUAGCGGUGGAAUGCGUAGAUAUAUGGAAGAACACCAGUGGCGAAGGCGGCUCUCUGGUCUGCAACUGACGCUGAGGCUCGAAAGCAUGGGUAGCGAACAGGAUUAGAUACCCUUGUAGUC
rnacentral:rRNA from 1 species